UACGUAGGGGGCGAGCGUUGUCCGAAUUCACUGGGCGUAAAGCGCGCGUAGGCGGGUUUUAAGUUGGGGGUGAAAUCCCGAGGCUCAACCUCGGAACUGCCUCCAAAACUGGAAGCCUUGAGGUUUGGAGAGGGAAGUGGAAUUCCAGGUGUAGCGGUGAAAUGCGUAGAUAUCUGGAGGAACACCCGUGGCGAAGGCGGCUUCCUGGCCAUAUCCUGACGCUGAGGUGCGAAAGCUAGGGAGCGAA
rnacentral:rRNA from 1 species